GGAGGAGUACUCAAAUUGGUCACGAGAAUAGGUUGCUAACCUAUCGCCGUGUAAAAAGCGGCUUGUGGGUUCGAGUCCCACCUCCUCCGCAA
rnacentral:tRNA from 2 species